UCGAGAGGCUUCCACAAUGGGGGAAACCCUGAUGGAGCGACGCCGCGUGGGUGAUGAAGGAUUUCGGUUCGUAAAACCCUUUCAGCAAGGAUGAAUGUGUAUGGCGCUAAUACCGCCGUGCGCAGGACGGUACUUGCAGAAGAAGCUCCGGCUAACUCCGUGCCAGCAGCCGCGGUAAGACGGGGGGAGCAAGCGUUGUUCGGAUUUACUGGGCGUAAAGGGCGUCUAGGCGGGUCAGCCAGUCAGGUGUGAAACCCCACGGCUCAACCGUGGACCUGCACUUGAUACUGUUGAUCUUGAGUACGGAAGAGGAAAGCGGAAUUCCUGGUGUAGCGGUGAAAUGCGUAGAUAUCAGGAAGAACACCGGUGGCGAAGGCGGCUUUCUGGUCCGAUACUGACGCUAAAGCGCGAAAGUGUGGGGAGCAAACA
rnacentral:rRNA from 1 species